rnacentral:rRNA from 1 species
CCCUUAGAUGUUCUGGGCGGCCCGCGCACUACAAUGGCGUGUGCAGCGAGUGCCGAAGUAGAGUUUUCCGAUGUAUUCUUGCAAUGCUCGUUUUGAUGGGGAUAGACCCUUGCAACUGUUGGUUUUGAACGAGGAAUUCCUUGUAAGCAUGGUUUAUCAUCCGACGCUGAAUGCGUCCCUGCCCUUUGUACACACCGCCCGUCGCUCCUACCGAUGAGUCGUCCGGUGAAGUUCGUAGACCUCGUGAUCGCGGAUCACUGGGGGAAGCAAAAUGAACCUCGCGGUUUAGAGGAAGGAGAAGUCGUAACA